UACGUAGGGUGCAAGCGUUGUCCGGAAUUAUUGGGCGUAAAGAGCUCGUAGGCGGUUUGUCGCGUCUGCUGUGAAAACCCGAGGCUCAACCUCGGGCCUGCAGUGGGUACGGGCAGACUAGAGUGCGGUAGGGGAGAUUGGAAUUCCUGGUGUAGCGGUGGAAUGCGCAGAUAUCAGGAGGAACACCAAUGGCGAAGGCAGAUCUCUGGGCCGGAACUGACGCUGAGGAGCGAAAGCAUGGGGAGCGAACAGG
rnacentral:rRNA from 1 species